GACGAACGCUGGCGGCGUGCUUAACACAUGCAAGUCGAACGGUGAAGCUCCAGCUUGCUGGAGUGGAUCAGUGGCGAACGGGUGAGUAACACGUGAGCAACCUGCCCCUGACUCUGGAAUAAGCGCUGGAAACGGCGUCUAAUACUGGAUACGAGAAGGGUCCGCAUGGGCACUUUCUGGAAAGUUUUUCGGUUGGGGAUGGGCUCGCGGCCUAUCAGCUUGUUGGUGAGGUAAUGGCUCACCAAGGCGACGACGGGUAGCCGGCCUGAGAGGGCGACCGGCCACACUGGGACUGAGACACGGCCCAGACUCCUACGGGAGGCAGCAGUGGGGAAUAUUGCACAAUGGGCGAAAGCCUUAUGCAGCGACGCCGCGUGAGGGAUGACGGCCUUCGGGUUGUAAACCUCUUUCAGCAGGGAAGAAGCGAAAGUGACGGUACCUGCAGAAGAAGCACCGGCUAACUACGUG
rnacentral:rRNA from 1 species